AUAAUGGUUUCGCCCUAUCGUCGCAUUAAAAGAGGCUUCUCUGCGACGUCCGAGAUCUGAACCUGUUUGGGCGGCCUUAGCGUUCUGUCAGUGCCUUUGUGUGGAGAAGUGGGUGAAACGCCGCCAUGGCUGUCAAGAUCAAAGUGGUUUACUGUGGUGCUUGAGGAUACAGUCCCAAGUAUCAGCAGCUCAAGAGGGGACUCGAAAAAGAGUUUCCGGGCAAGCUGGAAAUUACUGGAGAAGGGACACCUCAGGUCACAGGAUGGUUCGAAGUGACAGUGGCAGGGAAGCUGGUGCACUCCAAAAAGAAUGGAGAUGGCUUUGUGGAUAAUGACACCAAACUCCACAAGAUACUAAUGGCCAUCAAAGCAGCUUUAGCAUAAAGAUGGCUUUGAGGAUGCAGCAAUAGCUUACUGGGAGAAAAGCUCAAGGAACCCUCUGUUUUGUUCAUCUUGGCCGAGCGCUUGAUGACGGGAUCUGCUGAAAUGUCGUCAGAUGCGUGGCAGUUCCCUGAAACCCUUGUGUAGAAUGCCAUUUUGAGCAAAGCCUGAUGAAGACCUUGAGUUUAUUUAACACCUGAAUACAGAACUGGGCUUGGCGCAAUAACUAACACUUUGGUGUUAUGUGUGUUCAGUAUGUGGUCUUUCUUUGUGGUGCUGGGUUAAUAUUUGAAUAAUUCUGGUCUUUGAUUAUUAUGAAGGAUGGGAAUGAGGAUGGCCCCACUCCCAAUCUUUUGCUUCUGGGCUCUUUGGAUAUUUAAUAUUUUGGAUAUUUAAUAUUCUCCAAUAUCUUCAAUUAAAAAUAAGGAAUGAAUACUUCUGCUAUUGCCAUGGAGUCCAAUCCUCUCAAAUUUUAAAUUAGUUUUAAAAUAGUAAAAGAUACAAUUGUGGAUCGAUUUCAAUUCCUAAAUUUCACAUUGCAAGACUUUGCUUUCUUAAUGCGCACAUCUGCUGACUUGUUUCUCUUGAAUGCAGUAAGCAUUUAAUAAAAAUGCCUCUUCCAAAA